rnacentral:tRNA from 1 species
CCAUCGGUUGGUUCAGUGGUAGAAUGCUCGCCUGCCACGCGGGCGGCCCGGGUUCGAUUCCCGCCGAUGCA